rnacentral:rRNA from 1 species
AAAUUGAAGAGUUUGAUCAUGGCUCAGAUUGAACGCUGGCGGCAGGCCUAACACAUGCAAGUCGAGCGGUAGCACAGAGAGCUUGCUCUCGGGUGACGAGCGGCGGACGGGUGAGUAAUGUCUGGGAAACUGCCUGAUGGAGGGGGAUAACUACUGGAAACGGUAGCUAAUACCGCAUAACGUCGCAAGACCAAAGUGGGGGACCUUCGGGCCUCAUGCCAUCAGAUGUGCCCAGAUGGGAUUAGCUAGUAGGUGGGGUAACGGCUCACCUAGGCGACGAUCCCUAGCUGGUCUGAGAGGAUGACCAGCCACACUGGAACUGAGACACGGUCCAGACUCCUACGGGAGGCAGCAGUGGGGAAUAUUGCACAAUGGGCGCAAGCCUGAUGCAGCCAUGCCGCGUGUGUGAAGAAGGCCUUCGGGUUGUAAAGCACUUUCAGCGGGGAGGAAGGCGGUGAGGUUAAUAACCUCAUCGAUUGACGUUACCCGCAGAAGAAGCACCGGCUAACUCCGUGCCAGCAGCCGCGGUAAUACGGAGGGUGCAAGCGUU